ensembl:lncRNA
CCUUUUACUAUUUGUAAAAGUAAUAACUGAUCUCUGUGCACGAAACCUUCCAGUAACGCAGCUCAGCCGCUGCAGCUUGUCCGCUGGCACAGACGCACACUAACUCCUCCUCCUUUUAUUAGGCGCCAUAACGUUUGUCCUAAUCGAAUUGGCUGAUCAGAUUGUUUUUUAAAUUUGACUUGCUUUGGAUCGCUUUCUCUCAAGUCGUUAAUAAAUGACUGAGAGUAACAAAAUGUUAAUUAAAUUCGUGUGUCUAAUCGACACUAAUAAGCUUUCAAACUUCACAGCGUAGAAAACUGGUGUUUAAAAAAAAAAAAGGAAUAAAAUGAACACUUCAGGAAAAAAAAAAAAAAAAUGCAUCCGCUUUUCAAGUCAGCUUUGUCUGGAGCAGCCAUUCCACUCUAAUGAGCAGGGCAGAGUUUCACCGAGCCUCACAGCACCAUUAGAUGAUCAUUAAAUGGUAGAGCGAGCAUCACACUAAACACACUCUCUCUCUCUCUCUCCCAGUUAAAACGAUCACAUCUUUGCUUUUGGGGAAAUCAGCCCAGAGCUUUAAAAGCCGCAAUCAAUGCAUAAAAUUCUGAACCGAAAGCACGGCUUCUCUAAUAAUUUCAGUUGGAUGAGAGUGUUGUUUUUGUUGAGUUUCACUUGAAGUGUCUAAUGAAGACAGCGUGGCUUUGAGGGGUUUCUUAGAAUCAACGGGAUGACGAAUAGCAUAUUCUUCUGCGAUUGACGUAUGGAGGUGUAGAGAAGGAGGCUGUGCAUGAGUCACUGGAGGGUCACCGUCAUCAUCACAAGAACUAUGAGUAAGGUAUGUUGUCACAAGAGAUAGGUACGUAGUUAUUCCCUUGUAAGUAUGAAUUUGUUUCGCCACUCACUGAACACCGUCUCCGCAGUGAAGCAUGGUGGCGGCAGCAUCACUUACACGCGCAUUAAAAAAAAUAAAAAUUUAAUGACCUAAUAAAAAAAAAAAAAAAAAAUAAAUGAUAAAAAGAAAUGAAUCCAAUAGAAGAGAACUGAGCGAAUCAGCGAUUAUUUCCCCGCCGACGUUAGCAUGAACAAAGCUCACUCGAGUGAAGAGACGACAACGAGGCUUGUGUUUAAACGACUUUUCCGCAGGUGACGAGAUGGCGAGUGAUGUGGCAACAACUAGAUCAAAGAUUCCCAUUCACUCUGAGAGCAGAUUACAGUUAGCCGGCUAGAUUUCAGACGAUUAGCCAGACUAGGCUCCGUUUCUCUUUAAAACCUUCUGCCUUUGGCCUCACUCUUGUCAUGAUCCGCGUCUCAAAUCGAAAACCCCAAAAACUCAAAACCAGACCUUUCGGUAGGUUUAAGAGGUUUUAAUAACAGUUAAAAGUCUCGAAUAGUAGAUAUGUAAUGUAAUGUAAUGUAAGCAUGCAAUUUGAGAUACAACAUUACUGCAGACAUUAUGUCACGUUGUGUUGUCCUGCUCCCAGUAUAUAUUGUGGUGUUGCACAAAUGUGGACGCAUCGCUUUAAUUUCUUAGGACACGCACAAGCGGUGUGCCAAACAAACGCAGGAUACAUGCUGCGGCCAUUUUAACUAGCUCCUUACACAUCGUGAUCGCUAACGGUAGACUAUAAUGUAAAUAGAAAGAAUUCCAUGUCAUAUUGGUGACAUGUACUGCUUACGGUUUGCUUAAAGUCGAGAGUCAGAGUAUGUUAUAGACAGAAAAAUCCUUUUUUUUUUUUUUGUCUACAAUUUUUUGUUGUUAUUCAGACACAGCAGUACCUGUGGGAAUGAGAUGGGUUCCCCAGACCACCACAUGCACAUCAUCUUAUCUCUUCAUAGAAACCGUAUUAAACUGUGGUGAUGAAUUACUGCACAUACGCUCUGCCUACUCUCAGUCAACUCACUCUUGUUCAACAGAAACGGACUGAAACCAAACCCUUUGAACAAAUUAUUACCCAAAUCACCAACUGUAAGUGUUUACUCGGUGAUUAAGUAAACACUUACUUAAUCGCUAUGAGAGAUUAGUAACCAGUCAAGAAAUUAAAAAAUAAAAACUAUAUAUGGUGGAAAAAGCUUAUUAUUAAUGUCAGAUUAGUUCUUUGUACUGUUUCCUGCUAAUCUUGUCUCUCAGGAACGUUCCGUUUUGUUGUAGUGAGGUUUUGUAUAAGGGUUACGAAGCUGACACGAAAUUAAGGAGCACGCUACAAUGACUUUUAAUUCUCUAAAAAGAUUUAACAGGGAUGCACUGAUUUUAUUCGGAAUAUCGUAUAGAGCUAAUACUGAUCCAAAGCUCUGGAUUGUAUCGGAUCAGAUUGAAUAAUACAGCAUCAUGCUGUGAUAUUGGUAUUAUACCGAAUAGAAAAUUGGUAUUAUAGUGAGGAUGCCACACACAUUAGUUAGAUAUUUCAAAUGUUUAUUAUUAUUAUUAUUAUUAUUAUUAUUAUUAUUACACAUUUUGCUGCUGAUUAUUUUUUGAAGACAGAAAAAGGUCAGCCAGUUGUUUACGUAGAAUUACCCAGAGGAAGAUUAAAUAGGAAUGGAAGAAGCACAAUUAUAGGGCUAUUACCCCACAGCACUUAUCAGUGUGUGUAUUCGUAUUAGUGUUUGUGCAUCCACUGAAAGCUGUUGCCAUGACAGCACAGCUCCUCGGCUCGCGACGGUAUGUUUGUAGCUAAUUAGAUUGUACAGCAGCUCCGGGGCUUCCUACUCAAUCGUGUAUACUCUGUACAUUUGCCUCGUUUCUCGCUUUUUUAAUUAUAUUUAAUUUCAUUUAAUGAAAAGGAAGGAUCCCUCAUAUAUAUAUACACACGGGUCAUAACGAUUCACAUGGAAAAACCGAUAUAGUGAAAUAGUAUAUGUUUUCCGUACUAGAUAAUAAGACACCAUUAUACACACUCUGUCCGCUUUAUUAGGAACACCUGGGUGAGACUCUGCAUAGAGUGGAUUGCGCAAGGUGUUGGAAACAUUCCUUGGGGAUUGUGGUCCAUGUUGACAUGAUUUCUUCGUAAGAAUUGCUGCAGAUUUGUCAGCUGCACAUGCACGCACAUCCCAAAGGUGCUCUACUGAACUCAUUGUCGUGUUCAUGGGAACAGUUCGAGGUGAUUGUGUUGCAUGAUCGUGCUGGAUUUGACCAUAAAGUGCAGCAACAAUACUCAUGCUGUGGCAUUCAAAUGAUGUUUGGUUUAAAGGGCCCCAUGUGUGCCAAGGAAACAUUCCCCCACCGUUACACCACCUCCACCAGCCUGAACAGCCUGGACAAGGCAGGUUGGGUCCAUGGAUUCAUGCUGUUGAUGCCAGAGUCCGACCCUAACAUCUGCAUGUUGCAGCAGAAAUCGAGAUUCAUCAGACCGGCCAACACUUUCCCAAUCUUCAACCGUCCAGUUUUAGUUAUCCUUCGCCGACUGUAGCCAGCAGAUUCAUGUUCUUGGCUGACAGCAGUGGAACUCGACAUGGUCUUCCGCUGUUGUAGCCCAUCCACCUCGAUGUUCAUCACGUUGUGGGUUCUGAGAUGCGUUCUUUUCUGCUCAGCACGGUUGUAAAGAGCAGUUAUUUGAGCUACUGUAGCCUUCCAGUCAUUUCUGCCUGCAGAACCGCUACUCACUGAACGUUUUUUUUGUCUUCACACAGUCUUGACCCGUACCUACAUGAUCUUAUCCAUUGCGCUGCUGCCACGUCAUCGGCUGAUUUGGAUAAUUGCAUAAAUGUACAGGUGAACAUUAUAAGGGUUCCUCAUAAAGUAUGUGGUUUUAUAUAUUGUGAAACGGUGACUUGCUUUAACAUCUGGUUGUAACAUGGAGAUUUCUAUCAUAAUGCAGAUCUAGCACUUUGCUUGGACAUGAUACGCAUACAAUAAGUGGCAUCAUCAUUCAUGUGAUGAUUAAAAAAAAAUUACCAUUAUAUUCCAUGGAAAAAUCUUGAAAUCUUGCACAAUCCUUGACUUGGGUUGGGUCUGCCAUUCCACAGACGUUUAGUGCUAGAUAAUAUGAGGCAUAAUCCUCAUAAAAUCUGAUGUUUUCCUAUUUCCGGUCAUCUAACCUGUAUAAUAAUAAUCCUAAAAUACAUUGCCUUUUUCUCAUCCUGUGUUUACACUCAAGGCUAUUACGCAGAGCAGCAUACAGUAAAUCAACACACUUAUCUAUCCAGUAUCACUGAACACAAAGUGAUGUUUGUUAUUCCAUGUCCCGAGAUUGAUAACUCCAUGAUAACGGACAUCCAUGAAAUAACCAGGGGCAUCGUUUUAAACAAAACAAACAAAUCCUGUUAAUCAUUAAUAACCCUCGGGCUUGAUAUUUAACCUUCAUCGUAAUAGGGUCUAAAUUUAGAAUCAUGUGCCUUUGUAACCUGCGUGCGUUUUUUGUCCGCUGGAAACAACAGAGCUUGCCUCCCAGAUCUUUCCAGACUUUAUGAGGCGACAAGGCUGUGUUGCCUGGUGAUGAACGUGGGUGCGUUUACUUCACCUCGCAAGUCAAACAUCCACCCAGCACAAAUGAUCACCAUCGACCGACCAGAUGGUCACGUGGUCGGAUCAUUAUCGUGAACGGUUGGAGAUGCCGUGAGAGGCGUUUUAGAUGGGGUUUAUGUGCGUAUGUAUUUGUGAAUGCCAUGAAAUGCAUGGUCGUGAAUUAAUAUUCAAUACAAGCCAUUUCUCUCAUACACAUUUCAGAUGGUUUAUACAUCAUUUCUUCUGUUUAGACACUGAUAAAAAAAAAGAAAAAAGAAAAAAGAAAAGAAGCAUUUGACAUGUACGGUGAUUACAAUCUAAGAGAUAUUUAGUAACAUAAUUCGGUUGUAUAUUUAAAUAGUAUUGAAUAUUAAGCAAAAAUCAUAAUACAUAAUGGGAUGUAAAGCAAAUGCUCAUUUCCUAUUAAUGACUUUGUAAACACCUCAUUGCAAAGAUAGAAAAAAAAAUAUAUAGUAUGUGUGGUGUGCUUACCAUCUUAAAUAAGUGUGUGAUGUGUGUGUGUGUGUGUGUGUUACCUUGGCCUCCAGCAGCGGACUCUGGAGGAAAGCCACGCAGAAGAGGAGCAGUAUGGAGCUAGUGUGAGGGCCCGACAUCCUGCAGGAGAGAAUGAAGCUGCCCCUUAUGACAGAGAGAUACACCGCCACUGAGCUCUGGACCACGGAUGGAGCGAUCCAGAAGGAGGGAGGGGGAGAGAGUGAACAAGAGCGAGCGAGGGAGGGCGAGGAAGAAAGGAAGAAGGGGAGGAGCCUGUCUCUAAAUAAAGAGGGAUGAGAAAGCACUCCUGGGAGAAGCGAG